rnacentral:rRNA from 1 species
AGAAUCAACGCUGGCGGCGUGCCUCAGACAUGCAAGUCGAACGCGAAAGUUUCCUUCGGGAGGCGAGUAGAGUGGCGCACGGGUGAGUAACACGUAGGUAAUCUACCUCUGGGUGGGGAAUAACAGCCGGAAACGGCUGCUAAUACCGCAUAAUGCAGCGGCUCGACAUCGAGACAGUUGUUAAAGCGGGGGAUUCGUAAGAACCUCGCGCCUAAAGAGGAGCCUGCGGCGGAUUAGCUAGUUGGUAAGGUAAUGGCUUACCAAGGCAUCGAUCCGUA